rnacentral:rRNA from 1 species
AGUGGCAGACGGGUGAGUAACAUGUGGGAAUCUGCCUUGUGGUUCAGGACAACAUUGGGAAACCGAUGCUAAUACUGGAUAAGCCCUUACGGGGAAAGUUUUAAUGCCAUAAGAUGAGCCCGCAUUUGAUUAGUUAGUUGGUGAGGUAAUGGCUCACCAAGACAAUGAUCAAUAGCUGAUCUGAGAGGAUGACCAGCCACACUGGGACUGAGACACGGCCCAGACUCCUACGGGAGGCAGCAGUGGGGAAUUUUGGACAAUGGGCGCAAGCCUGAUCCAGCAAUGCCGCGUGCAGGAUGAAGGCCUUCGGGUUGUAAACUGCUUUUGUACGGAACGAAACGGUGAGCUCUAAUACAGUUUGCUAAUGACGGUACCGUAAGAAUAAGCACCGGCUAACUACGUGCCAGCAGCCGCGGUAAUACGUAGGGUGCGAGCGUUAAUCGGAAUUACUGGGCGUAAAGCGUGCGCAGGCGGUGAUGUAAGACAGAUGUGAAAUGCCCGGGCUCAACCUGGGACCUGCAUUUGUGACUGCAUCGCUAGAGUACGGUAGAGGGGGAUGG